UACGGAGGGGACUAGCGUUGUUCGGAAUUACUGGGCGUAAAGGGCGCGCAGGCGGUUUCGUCAGUCAGAUGUGAAAUCCCCGGGCUUAACCCGGGAACUGCAUUUGAUACUGCGAGACUAGAGUUCGGGAGAGGGUAGUGGAAUUCCCAGUGUAGAGGUGAAAUUCGUAGAUAUUGGGAAGAACACCAGUGGCGAAGGCGGCUACCUGGACCGAUACUGACGCUGAGGUGCGAAAGUGUGGGGAGCAAAC
rnacentral:rRNA from 1 species